rnacentral:tmRNA from 1 species
GGGGGUGAAUGGUCUCGACUUCGGUCGUGUGACCAGGGGAAGCGAGCCGAGGAAGGCAACGAUGAGCUCGUUAACCACGCGUUGCAAACAACACAAGCGCCGACUCCAGUCAGCGCGACUUCGCUCUCGCUGCCUAAGCAGCAGGAGUGAGUCUGUCAGCCCGGGUUCGUCAUCGGCCCGGAUCCUGGCAUCAGCUAGAUGACUCACCGUGCGGAUCGGUCGCGGAUCCGCACGGGACACCGCACAGCGACUGGGCCCGUCACACCGACUCGUUCGUGAGAUCGGUGGGGUCAAGCAGAGACGCAGCGGACUGCGCUCGGAGAAGCCCUGGUCAGGCGUCGGAGGACGCGGGUUCGAUUCCCGCCACCUCCACCA